CCUACGGGAGGCAGCAGUGGGGAAUAUUGGGCAAUGGGCGCAAGCCUGACCCAGCACCGCCGCGUGAAGGAAGAAGGCUUUCGGGUUGUAAACUUCUUUUCUCAGGGACGAAGCAAGUGACGGUACCUGAGGAAUAAGCCACGGCUAACUACGUGCCAGCAGCCGCGGUAAUACGUAGGUGGCAAGCGUUAUCCGGAUUUACUGGGUGUAAAGGGCGUGUAGGCGGGAAAGCAAGUCAGAUGUGAAAACCAUGGGCUCAACCUGUGGCCUGCAUUUGAAACUGUUUUUCUUGAGUACUGGGGAGGCAGACGGAAUUCCUAGUGUAGCGGUGAAAUGCGUAGAUAUUAGGAGGAACACCAGUGGCGAAGGCGGUCUGCUGGACAGCAACUGACGCUGAGGCGCGAAAGCGUGGGGAGCAAACAGGAUUAGAUACCCCUGUAGUC
rnacentral:rRNA from 1 species